rnacentral:rRNA from 1 species
AUUGAACGCUGGCGGCAUGCCUUACACAUGCAAGUCGAACGGUAACAGGUCUUCGGAUGCUGACGAGUGGCGAACGGGUGAGUAAUACAUCGGAACGUGCCUAGUAGUGGGGGAUAACUACUCGAAAGAGUGGCUAAUACCGCAUGAGAUCUACGGAUGAAAGCAGGGGAUCGCAAGACCUUGUGCUACUAGAGCGGCCGAUGGCAGAUUAGGUAGUUGGUGGGAUAAAAGCUUACCAAGCCGACGAUCUGUAGCUGGUCUGAGAGGACGAUCAGCCCCACUGGGACUGAGACACGGCCCAGACUCGUACGGGAGGCAGCAGUGGGGAAUUUUGGACAAUGGGCGCAAGCCUGAUCCAGCAAUGCCGCGUGCAGGAUGAAGGCCUUCGGGUUGUAAACUGCUUUUGUACGGAACGAAAAGCCCCGGGUUAAUACCCUGGGGUCAUGACGGUACCGUAAGAAUAAGCACCGGCUAACUACGUGCCAGCCGCCACAGUAA